GACGAACGCUGGCGGCGUGCCUAAUACAUGCAAGUCGAGCGGACCAAAGGGAGCUUGCUCCUGGAGGUUAGCGGCGAACGGGUGAGUAACACGUGGGCAACCUGCCUGUAAGACUGGGAUAACAUCGAGAAAUCGGUGCUAAUACCGGAUAAUAAAAGAACUGCAUGGUUCUUUUUGAAAGAUGGUUUCGGCUAUCACUUACAGAUGGGCCCGCGGCGCAUUAGCUAGUUGGUGAGGUAACGGCUCACCAAGGCGACGAUGCGUAGCCGACCUGAGAGGGUGAUCGGCCACACUGGGACUGAGACACGGCCCAGACUCCUACGGGAGGCAGCAGUAGGGAAUCUUCCGCAAUGGACGAAAGUCUGACGGAGCAACGCCGCGUGAGUGAUGAAGGUUUUCGGAUCGUAAAACUCUGUUGUUAGGGAAGAACAAGUGCCGUUCGAAAGGGCGGCACCUUGACGGUACCUAACGAGAAAGCCACGGCUAACUACGUGCCAGCAGCCGCGGUAA
rnacentral:rRNA from 1 species